rnacentral:piRNA from 1 species
UGCAUCUUUCAAAUUCAAGGCCUCUUUUAAC